CCUACGGGUGGCUGCAGUGGGGAAUAUUGCGCAAUGGGGGAAACCCUGAUGCAGCGACGCCGCGUGAGUGAAGAAGUCUUUCGGUAUGUAAAGCUCUAUCAGCAGGGAAGAAUAAAGACGGUUCCUUACUAAGAAACCCCGGCUAACUACGUGCCAGCAGCCGCGGUAAUACGUAGGGGGCACGCGUUAUCCGGAUUUACUGGGUGUAAAGGGAGGGUAGACGGCUGUGCAAGUCUGAAGUGAAAGCCCAGGGCUCAACCUUGGGACUGCUUUGGAAACUGUGGAGCUAGAGUGCUGGAGAGGUAAGUGGAAUUCCUAGUGUAGCGGUGAAAUGCGUAGAUAUUAGGAGGAACACCAGUGGCGAAGGCGGCCUACUGGACAGCAACUGACGGUGAGGCGCGAAAGCGUGGGGAGCAAACAGGAUUAGAUACCCCAGUAGUC
rnacentral:rRNA from 1 species